rnacentral:rRNA from 1 species
UUGAAAGGGAAACGAUUGAAGUCAGUCGUACCGACGGAGGAUCAACCUUUGAAAGCGGGUCGAGGUAUUCGAGGAGUUUAAAAGCCCUCUUGCGCUCACGUACUUCGUUUUCUUUGGUGCACUUCUUCGUAUGGUAGGUUAACAUCAAUUUUGGACGUUACAAAAUGAUCGGGGGAAUGUAGCUUCGAUUUUUUCGAAGUGUUAUAGACCUUGGUAGAUGUGACGACCGGGAUUGAGGAUUGCAACGAAUGCUUUCGGGCUAUCCGUCUGACCUCUGGUGGUUGCUUUAGGGUCGAAAGCGUGCUUACACUUUAAAGUUGGCUAUCAAAAGGCUAGAACGUGAUUAAAUUCGUUAAGGAUGUUGACGUA